CCCUUAGAUGUUCUGGGCCGCACGCGCGCUACACUGAUGAAUGCAACGAGCUCUACCCUUGACCGAAAGGCCCGGGUAAACUUGUGAAACUUCAUCGUGAUGGGGAUAGAUUAUUGCAAUUAUUAAUCUUCAACGAGGAAUUCCUAGUAAGCGCGAGUCAUCAGCUCGCGUUGAUUACUUCCCUGCCCUUUGUACACACCGCCCGUCGCUCCUACCGAUUGAAUGGUCCGGUGAAAUCUUCGGAUUGCUGACCAAGAUCCAGCAAUGGAGCUUGGUUGCGAGAAGUUGAUUAAACCUUAUUAUUUAGAGGAAGGAGAAGUCGUAACA
rnacentral:rRNA from 1 species